AUUGAACGCUGGCGGCAGGCCUAACACAUGCAAGUCGAACGGUAACAGGAAGAAGCUUGCUUCUUUGCUGACGAGUGGCGGACGGGUGAGUAAUGUCUGGGAAACUGCCUGAUGGAGGGGGAUAACUACUGGAAACGGUAGCUAAUACCGCAUAACGUCGCAAGACCAAAGAGGGGGACCUUCGGGCCUCUUGCCAUCGGAUGUGCCCAGAUGGGAUUAGCUAGUAGGUGGGGUAACGGCUCACCUAGGCGACGAUCCCUAGCUGGUCUGAGAGGAUGACCAGCCACACUGGAACUGAGACACGGUCCCGACUCCUACGGGAGGCAGCAGUGGGGAAUAUUGCACAAUGGGCGCAAGCCUGAUGCAGCCAUGCCGCGUGUAUGAAGAAGGCCUUCGGGUUGUAAAGUACUUUCAGCGGGGAGGAAGGGAGUAAAGUUAAUACCUUUACUCAUUGACGUUACCCGCAGAAGAAGCACCGGCUAACUCCGUG
rnacentral:rRNA from 1 species